GGCGGGGCGCGGCCGGGCGAGCGGCGCUGUCGCUGCCCGCGGGCGAUAAGGCAGAUAGGGGCGAUAAGGGAGGCGACUGCGGCCGGGCGAUAAGGGGGCGGGACGGAGGGCGGGAGCGGGCCCGGGGGACUGGGGCGGGGUCGCACAGCGGCUGCCGAAGGGUCGCCGUGAGGGGCAGCGGCGGCCUCGCCCUGCCCGCCGGGGGUCGGCGCUCGGGCUGCGGGGGCGUGAGGGACGGGCGGGGCCGGGCUGGGCGGCUGGCCGGGCUCAGGGCGGCCCCGCAGGCGAUAAAACGCUGCUGGGAGCCAGGGGCAGGUGUCCGUGUUGACAUAGCUUUGAGGAACGGAAGUGCUGGGAUGAGCUUUCCAGGCUGUUUUACAGGCAGAUGCCCAAGGAAGAACACUCUCAACUCUUGCAAGUUCCUUGCCCUGGUACUCGUGAGCUGCAUUGUCAUGGGAGAGUGCAGCUUCAGAACGCUGGAGUUCCAGGUAUGCUUCAGAUGCACCCAACAUACAAAGAACCACAGAAGUCUGAAGCAGAAACUUGUUCUCACUACUGCAAAGCCCAUCAGUGUGUCCUGAGCAAUCAUGUACCAUUAGAUGGCUCUCAAACUGUAAAGAACACUUGCAACAUAGAUCAUAGGAUAGUUUGGUUUGGAAUGGUCCUUAAAAGGUUAUAUUGUCACACCCUUGCAAUGAGCAUGGACAUCAGCUAGAAUAGGUCCUCAGAACUGCAUCCAGCCUGACCUUGAAUGUUUCCAGGAAUAGGGCAUCUACCACUUCUGUGGGUAACCUGUGCUUAUGUUUUACAGCCUUAAUCAUAAAAAAUGUCUUCCUUAUGUCUAUUCUAAAUUUACCCUCUUUUAAUUUAAAAAUAUUAUCUCUUGUCCUUUAGGGACAGGACUUACUAAAAAGUCUGUCCCCAUCUUUCUCAUAAGCCCCCUGUAACUACUGGAAGGCCACAAUAAAGCCUUAGAGACUUCUCUCCUCCAGGCUGAGCAACCCCAGCUCUCAGCCUUUCCUCAAAGGAGAGGUAUUUCAUCCUUCCGAUCAUUUUUGUGCCCCUUCUCUGGACCCACUCCAACAGGACAAGUUCCUUCCUGUGCUGCAGACCCCAGAGUGCAUUCAGUGUUCCAGGUGGGGUCUCAAUGAAAUGGAGCAGAUGGGAAAAAUCACCACCUCAGCCUGCUGGCCACAUUGCCUUUGAUACUGCCUGGGAUAUGUUUGGCUUUGUGGACUGCAAGUGAAUGUUGUCAGUUCAUGUGCAGCCUCUCAUCCACCAGCACCCUCAAUUCCUUUCCCUCUCAGCCACUCUCAAUUCCUUCAUCUCCCAGUCUGUAUUGAUACUGGGGGUUGCCUCAGCUCAGGUGCAGCACCUUGCACUUGGUUUCAUGAGGUUCCCAUGGACCUACUUCUUGAGUUUGUCCAGAUCCCUCUGGAUGGCUGUCCCCCUGGCAUGUCACCUGUACUGCUCAGCUUGUUCUUGCACUCAAACUUGCUGAAGGUGCACUCAAUGCCACUGUCUAUGUCAUUGACGAAGAUAUGAAACAGUGCUCAUCCCAGUCACCUAAGGACACCACUUGUCACUGAUCUCUGUCUGGACAUUGAGCCAUUGUUCAUUUCAACCAAUUCCUCAUCUGCCAAACAGUCCAUCCAUCAAAUCCAUUUCUCUGCAAUUUAGAGAGAAGGGUGUUGUGCGGGACUGUGUCAAAGGCCUUACAAAUGUCCAGAUAACAACCAUAGCUCUUCCCUGGUCCACUGUUGUCCCUUCAUCACAGAAGGCCACUGGGGCUCACUUGUCUUCCUGUUGACAGAUUUCCAGUUUCCACUGCAGCCUGGGGACUCCUCACAGGUGUAGGAGCACAGCAUAUUUAUCAUGAUGUUCUACUUGGCUUAUGAUCAUGAUGGGAUCUGGAAUGGGAGAGAGUAUUGGUGCUGUUCUUUGAUAUGUUUUAAAUACAUCAAUGCUUGUCUUUGAAGUUAAUGCCUUAAAAAUCAUAGUGUAAUACAGCCUCACUGGAAUAUCUUCCACAAGCCACAGUUGGUUACUUUGAAAGUUUUAGAGCAGGCUCCUCUCAUAUGCUCAGGAUGUAGGACUACCAUAUUUUUAUGCUUUUCCCUUGGUAUCCAUCUUUGGUCUCUGUUCACAGUAUCAUGGACAGCAAGAUGAGUUCUUUACAUGCCUCUAUUCAGGCUGACUGUUCCAGGGUUGAUUCUGCUGUCGGAUUGCACAUUCAGUGAGGUAGUGUAGGAGACAAGUUAUCAGGCUAGACUGGCCUUUGGUCUGACCCAGAACAGUUCUUGUAUCUUCUCUCUCUAUUCUCUCUGUUGGGUGAACUUUGCCAAAUACCUUGUAGGUCAGCCGAAGGCUAGCCAAAGGUGUAGCCAGAGAAGAGAAAUGUUUCAAGACCCAUCUCAAUGAACAUUUUCUUUGUAGUCACCAGACAUUUUGCUUCUUUAUUUCCAUUGACAUAGCUGUAGUCUUUCCAUCUGGCUUUUCUAGGUAUGAAAGUUUUACCCAGAGGGUAGAUUGUAUCUGUGACAAGUAAAGAUCCACUCUGUUUUUAUUCACCUCCCCCGUUGUAUUCUGGAGUUUUUACAUUCAAUGGAUUGAAAAUUAAACAAAUACUGAACUGAGUCCACUGAUAAUAAAAAAAUUAUCUCACAAAGACAGGCGCUGAGGAUAUGUGUACUUGAAUAAGUGAUUAGCAAAAAGACCUGUGAUACCAGCCCAAGGAGACACUUAACUUGUAGGUGGUUUGAGUUUUCUGCAUUUUUGCUUAGUAUAGUGCUGUUUUUGCUGGAAAUGUGAAAAGUGAAAAUCAAUAAAAAUUUAAAGAUCAAUUAGUGAAAACUAUGUUGUUUUCUUUUUGAUUUAGAGGGGUAAAAUAAUGCCAAAGUAGCUGAAGAGAUAUUUCUACCCAAUUUACAAACUACAGUCUGAUAUAAAAAUUCCUUUAUUAUAGUAUCUACUUCUUUCUGUUUCUGAAUAACCUUCAAGAGCGUAGUGAGUUCAGAACUGAUAUAAACUUAGCUAGAUGUCAAUGUUAUUUGGAUGUUUCAUAUUCUGAUACUCUGGGAGUACAAGGUUGUGAUGGCUUAAACAGUUGAAUCUGGAACAUUGCUGAAUGCUUAUAUACAUGUAAAAGUAUAUGGGGAGGUGUCAGCCAGAGCACACAAAUGCAUGGAAUCCACAGCCAUUGAUUAAAGUUAUGUUGAAAUAGUGUGUUUGAGUGCUUGCCCACCAUCAUACUUAACUUUUCUUAUGCUUAAAUGGAGUUUCCUGUGUUUCACUGUGUGGUCUAUCCUGUCACUGGAUGCCACUGAGAAGAAUCUUGUUCCAUCUCCUUUCCUCUUUCUGAAUAGGCAUUUUUGCAUAUUUGUAAGAUUAUCCUUGCAUCUUCUUUUCUCCAGGUUAAACAAUUUCACCUCUCUCAACCUCUCCUCAUAUGACAGGUGCUUAGACCCUAAAUCCUCUUUGUGGCUCUCAUGCUGGGCUUGCUACACUAUAUUCAUGUCUCUUGUUCUGGGAAGCUCAGUCCUGGAUGCAACACUCCAGGUAGGAUCUCACCAGUGCUAAGCAGAAUGGAAGGAACACCUUCCUCAAGCUGCUGGCAAUACUCAUCCACUCCUGGAAGCUAUUUGCCUUCUUUGCCACAAGGGCACAUUGCUGGCUCAUGUUAUGUAUCCCUGGAUCCCUUUCUUCACAGUGUCUUUCCAGCUAGUCAGCCCCAUCUUCCAGCUCCACUGGUGUGUGGAGUUAUUUCACCCUUGAUGCAGAAUUUGGCAUUUUGCUCUGUUAAUUUUCAUGACCUAUUGACCAGGGUCCUUCUGAUGGCAGCACUAAUCUCUGGUGUGUUAACCACUCCUCCCAAUUUUGUACCAUCUGCAAAAUUGCAGAGGGUGCACCCUGUCCCAUUAUCCAGGCCAUGAAUGAAGAUGUAAAAUACUACUGGCCCCAGUAUCAACUCCUGAUGUACACUAUUAGUGACUGGCCUCCAGCCAUUGAUCACAACCCUUUGAACCCCUUGACAGUUCAGCAGGUUUUCAGUCCACCUUACAACCCAUUUAUCCAGCCCAUGCUUCAUCACCUUCUGAGGAAUUUCACAGAGUUAGCCAACAAUUGCCAAGUAUGAAUAGGAAAUGGAAUCUGUGUUCUUCUAAGAUAUAUAACAUUUUUAUUGGUUAGACGGUAGCAAAGUGUUUCUGCUGAAUUUGUUUGAUUUUCAGUUAACAGAGAAAUUAACAACUGCUUUGUUAUUUUUGCAUGGCUGAGAGCAGUGUCAGGUUAAUUUUGUUGCAAAGAGUGAAUUUAUUGCUAUUCACUGCAUAGAUGAUUCAGUGAAAAUGUGAAUUCAGUUAUAUAAAUUAUUUAGUUAUAUGUGUUGCAUGUAGAAAGCUGUGUGAACAAUAUUAAUAAAAUCAACCAUGUGAGGAUUUCCUCAACUUUAAAAUAGUUUUAUUUUCAGCAAUUUAAUUGUCCUUUUUGUCAGGUCAGAUCAUGAGUGAGCUGAUGUGAGUGAACUCAUAUCACCUGGAGGGCAGAGAGUUUUGCUUGAGAUCUCUGUACAGAAUAGCAACAGAAACAGAAUUAGUGCCCUUUCUGAGAACACUUGUUUGAUAUCCUAAAUCAUAGGAUAAUCUCUUGUGUGGGGGGAAUCAAGAGCUGUUUCUAUCUGAGCCACAGCUAGAUCUCAAAGAAACAGCUCCUCCAAACUGUGUGAGGUAUCCACACACUUUGAUGCUUUCCAAGUGAAUUUUUUCACUGUCACAAAGAUUGCUGCUUGCUAUUUUAAAGAGUUACUUCUGAUUCUCAAACUUGGGAGUGAGAAUCUGUUCCUGGUUAGGUGUUGGAUGCUAUGAUUGAAACACUUUUGUCCCCAAAUGGAAAAGAAAGGUCAAAACCUUUCAAAGUACUUCUUCCAGAAGGCUGAUGCAAUGCAGUUGGCUCUGAGAGAAGCCUUAUGCUAAGAGAUUCUGGUUUUGGAAAAGGACUGUGCUUGAAUAUUGCAACUCUGGACAGUCUUUGUUUUUAAGACCAAUGUGAUUUCAAGCAUUAGUUGCUGCCAGAUACAGUGAGAGAACAUCAUGGAUCUGAUCUGUGAAAGCCUGCAGUUAGCAGCUGUAUUGUGAGCUCUGCCAACAGGCUGAGGUGCUCAGGCAGGAGGAAUCCAGAAGCAUUGCUGCUGUUCCAGUUGCCACCAGGUGCUGCUCUGCAGGUGGGCUUUCUUGCUCUCUUCCUGUCACCCAGGCUGGGUAGAGGAGCCAGCAAUUAGAGACUAGUGCUUGCAGUACUCAAGACUAGGCUUGGGCUUAGACCAGGCUCCACAUGUCUUGAUUAUCCCAGGGAUAAUCCCAUGUUUCCCCCCAAGCAGAACUCAGCCUGGUAACCCUUCAGGAAGCUCUGACCUGAGCACCAGCUUCCCUUUUACCACGUCUCACCUUUCUCUAUGGAUAUGUAGGGCCUGCCUAUGUACACAAUGCUUGGUACUGAUGGAGAAGACAAUGAAAAUGUUAUUGGAAGCGCUUGAGUGGAUGCUGAUCUAUUCUUGUGAGCCCUCCAUAAAGGCUGGCAAAUACUGAGAGUAGCUCUGGAUUAUUAACAGAAAACCUGAAAUGCACUUGCCUUUUCAGUCUACUUUUGUUGGUUUUGAAACCACCUUCUAGUGGAAGAUUCUCUGCCCAUGGGAAGGGAGGGUGGACUGGAUGAUUUUAAGGUCCCUUCCAACCCACACCAUUCGAUGAUUCCAUGAAACUGUGUGGUUGUGAUCAGGCUGAUUGAAAGAUCUCAUUAGAAAAAAUGAAUUUAAUGUGGAAUAGUCCCACAAAGCAAAAAUGGAGCUUCUUGGCAAGAAAUUUAUUCCAAAACUGUAUUAUUUUUGGCUGGAGAAUGGAAGCAACAUUAUUUGAGUUACAAAACACAGGUAAGGAAGUCAUUGUACAUAGGUUCCAGAUCAAGGCUAUUCAUAUGGAUUAUUCAGUGUAUUGUUUUAUUUGAAUAAAACCGGGUAACAAAAGAUAAGGGUGAGCUAUCAAAUGUUUGGAGACAGUUCACUAAGGUGGAAUUUAUCUUUAUGCUUGCUUGAUUUUGGUUAUUUUCUUUUCUGUAAAAAAAGUUUAGUGUAGUCUUGUGAAUUGGGGCCAUGGGACUUCUAUUAAUUGACUUCUGCAGGUUUUUAUUCCUUUAUGAACUACAUUAUAAACCCAUUGUAUUUUCAAAACUAUUUUCAUUACAGUUGUGACUGUUUUCAUUAUGGGAAGCAGUGGAUUAAGAGAAAAUGAUGAGAUUAUAAGUGACAGGUCUGAAGCCAAAAAGGGAAUUGUUCAUUGAAACGACUGGUACUCAAGGUUUCUAUCACUUCUGACCACUUGUGACCAGGAUUUGGUUUGUGAGAAGUUACAGAGAGGGCAGUACUGAAGAAAAUAAAGGAAUUUGGGAAGAUUAAUAGGUUUCUUGUCAAAGAAGAGCUGAGAAACUUGCAGCCUCAACUUUCUAGUUAUCCAUACUAAAGAAAAAAGAAAAGUAUUUUUCCAGAAAAAAAAAGCAUUAGCAGACGUAUCCUGAUUCUGCCAUCAAUAUCAAACAAUUUUUCUUUGUGCAUCAGUUUCUUCUUUGCAAAAUGAGGAUAAGGGUAUUGGGCAGUGCUUUGAGAUCUGUACCAGUAAGUGCAGGCUAACACAGCACCACUCUCCUUUGAUGCUGGAUGCUCACCAUGAUGCAGGACUAACAAGCUGCUGGCUAAAUGGUCGUAGGACAUAGGAGCAUAUGACACAAACAAUGACAUUUCUGAUUUAGCAUAAAUUUAUGUGAUUUUUUCUGUUUCCUUUUAUAUUUCUUUUCCAUGGGAGAAAACCAGGCAAUUGUUUUUUCCAGUGCUGCUAUAAUAAGCUACAAAGCUGAUUCUGAUGAAAAAAUAGACUAUGAUCUCUUGAUGAUUGAUCAAAGCAGGUGAUUUUGAACUUGGUUUUAAUCUAUUAUUUAAACAAAAUGCUAAAUAAAAAACCACUUGAAUGACUUCACAAUUGUUUUACCAUUAUAGUUCUUAGUGUUUUUUUAAAGAAAAAUAAUAUUCACUGUAAACAAGUAAAUUUGUAGCUUUUACUCUGGCUUUCACAGGCCUGUUGACAUCACUUCUUGAGCCACUGCACAUAGGAGUACAGUUCACAUGGUACCACCUAACAGCUCUGCUGUUUCCCAGAAAUGUCAGAUCUCCUGUGUGUGUGUUGGAAAGGCCUCUUCUGUGUGGGUGUGAAUGGAUUCCAUAGGUGUUUAUGUAUGAGAGGUAGAAAGGGACACUAGAAGAAAGUCAAAGAGGGCAAAAGAGCAUGCUAAGAGGUCAUGUCUGUGAGUCUCUCAAAACCUGAUUAGCUCUAGAGUCAGUAAUGCUGUUGCAUCCAAAGCAUGGAUAUAUUAGCAUGUGAGACAGACAAAUUUGUUGAAGGCCACCAGGCCUUUAGCAAACAUCAGGAUCAAGAGUGGGAUGCCUAACUCACAUGGUGACUGAGGCAGUGGUGGCUGCUCUCUGCAGACAGCAGCUACAGGUUCAAUACCAGCUGAGACAAGGGAUCGCUUGAAACACUGUCUGAGCCCCUGCCAGCCCUUGUUGUACUAGUACAGUUUUCUGUUUCUGAUGGAAUGGCUUAUGUUGGCCUCCCAGCUGGUGCUCCAGUCUGGGAACUAUCAGAUACUGUUUUGUUGUGAGCUUUCUGAAGGGAAUAUAUUGCAUGUAGUUAUCUGUUAUUGAAAUUAACAGCUUGAUUUUAUUAUUAACAGCAGCUUUAUUAAAAAAAAAAAAGUGUCCUUGUAAAUAUGGGUUGUGAUGUUUAUCUUGCUUCAACUUGAUAUUUUCAACAUAUGCAGUGAGUAAUCCAGGAACACAGAUAAAUCUGCUGAAGUUCCUUAAUGAUUCUGGCAGGUAAUGGGAUCAGAACAAGCCUGGAGGACCAGGCAGGGUACUUCAGCUGACACACACAGUGUCUGUAUGUCAUGGAUGGGACCUUCCUGUAAUUCUGUUCACAUUUGUAAAAUUAAUUGUACAGAUUUAUCUAGACUGGUCAGGUUACUUUUCUGGGUGCCGCAUUUCUUAGGUACUAAGAUGUGGGUGGGUUGGUGGUUUGUUU